AGUCAUGUGCUUAAGGUUAUUCAUGUACUUAAGAAUUGCACAAGAGGUGGCUUUUUCUCCAGAGGCUCACUAGUUAUUAGAGAGAGGAUACACAUAUAUACACACACACGUACUCCAGGCUAUACAUACAUCUGUGGAAGCCAUGCUCAGGAAUGACAACUACAUAUAAAACAAAGUCUUCGUAUAACAUAAGUUAUGACUUCUGAUUAUUUAAAAUUGGGAGAAGAUAACUGGAUAAAGGUUUGAAGUGACUUUAUAGUAAGAUUGCAGAUCAUCUGAUGAGAGAAGUGUGCUGAGAUUUACAGCUACCUUGCUAAAAUUUUCCUGCCUGUUAUGUUUUUUUUUUUUAAUUGCCGAGCAAACCAACAGUUUUCCUCCUUUCGAUUGUAAUCACUGUGCUAAAGAGGGAGGGAUCUCCAGUGCAGGAGGAAACAGCAUAGACCACCAGAGAAGAACUUCCUGUGUCUAACUCUGUGUUGUUGUAGAAGAC
rnacentral:lncRNA from 1 species